rnacentral:rRNA from 1 species
CAGGAUAAACGCUGGCGGCGCACAUAAGACAUGCAAGUCGAACGGAUUAACCAUUAGUUUACUAUUGGAGCGGUUAGUGGCGGACUGGUGAGUAACACGUAAGCAAUCUACCUAUCAGAGGGGAACAACAGUUAGAAAUGACUGCUAAUACCACAUAUGCCUCGAGUAUCGCAUGGUACAAGAGGGAAAGGAGCAAUCCGCUGAUAGAUGAGCUUGCGUCUGAUUAGAUAGUUGGUGGGGUAACGGCCUACCAAGUCGACGAUCAGUAGCCGGACUGAGAGGUUGAACGGCCACAUUGGGACUGAGAUACGGCCCAGACUCCUACGGGAGGCAGCAGUCGGGAAUAUUGCGCAAUGGAGGAAACUCUGACGCAGUGACGCCGCGUGCAGGAAGAAGGUUUUCGGAUUGUAAACUGCUUUAGACAGGGAAGAAACAAGACAGUACCUGUAGAAUAAGCUCCGGCUAACUACGUG